UAAGUGACUAAGCGUACACGGUGGAUGCCUUGGCAGUCAGAGGCGAUGAAAGACGUAGUAACUUGCGAUAAGCCCAGAUUAGGUAGUAACAACCAUUUGAGUCUGGGAUUUCUGAAUGGGGAAACCCACGUGCAUAAGCACGUAUCCUUACCUGAAUACAUAGGGUAAGGAGGCGAACCGGGGGAACUGAAACAUCUAAGUACCCCGAGGAAAAGAAAUCAACCGAGAUUCCGAAAGUAGCGGCGAGCGAAAUUGGACUAGCCCUUAAGCUUUACACGCGUUAGACGAACGGUCUGGAAAGUCCGACGAUACAGGGUGAUAGUCCCGUAGUUGACGACGUGUGUUCAGUGAAAUCGAGUAGGGCGGGACACGUGAUAUCCUGUCUGAAUAUGGGGGGACCAUCCUCCAAGGCUAAAUACUACUGACUGACCGAUAGUGAACCAGUACCGUGAGGGAAAGGCGAAAGAACCCCUGUGAGGGGAGUGAAAUAGAACCUGAAACCGUGUACGUACAAGCAGUAGGAGCAGGCUUUGUCCUGUGACUGCGUACCUUUUGUAUAAUGGGUCAGCGACUUAUAUUCAGUGGCAAGGUUAACCAUCUAGGGGAGCCGUAGGGAAACCGAGUCUUAACUGGGCGUUCAGUCUCUGGAUAUAGACCCGAAACCAGGUGAUCUAGCCAUGGGCAGGUUGAAGGUUGAGUAACAUCAACUGGAGGACCGAACCGACUAAUGUUGAAAAAUUAGCGGAUGACUUGUGGCUAGGGGUGAAAGGCCAAUCAAACCUGGAGAUAGCUGGUUCUCCCCGAAAGCUAUUUAGGUAGCGCCUCGGACGAAUACUACUGGGGGUAGAGCACUGUUAAGGCUAGGGGGUCAUCCCGACUUACCAACCCUUUGCAAACUCCGAAUACCAGUAAGUACUAUCCGGGAGACACACGGCGGGUGCUAACGUCCGUCGUGGAGAGGGAAACAACCCAGACCGCCAGCUAAGGUCCCAAAUUACUACUAAGUGGGAAACGAUGUGGGAAGGCUCAGACAGCCAGGAUGUUGGCUUAGAAGCAGCCAUCAUUUAAAGAAAGCGUAAUAGCUCACUGGUCGAGUCGGCCUGCGCGGAAGAUGUAACGGGGCUAAGUAGUAAACCGAAGCUGCGGCAAUGUGCUUUUGCACAUUGGGUAGGGGAGCGUUCUGUAAGCGGUUGAAGGUGUGUGGUAACGCAUGCUGGACGUAUCAGAAGUGCGAAUGCUGACAUGAGUAACGAUAAAGGGGGUGAAAAACCUCCUCGCCGGAAGACCAAGGGUUCCUGUCCAACGUUAAUCGGGGCAGGGUAAGUCGACCCCUAAGGCGAGGCCGAAAGGCGUAGUCGAUGGGAAACGGGUUAAUAUUCCCGUACUUCUUACAAUUGCGAUGGGGGGACGGAGAAGGCUAGGUGGGCCUGGCGACGGUUGUCCAGGUUCAAGUGCGUAGGCUUAAGAGUUAGGUAAAUCCGGCUCUUUUUAAGGCUGAGACACGACGUCGAGCAUCUACGGAUGUGAAGUCAUUGAUGCCAUGCUUCCAGGAAAAGCCUCUAAGCUUCAGAUUGUAAGGAAUCGUACCCCAAACCGACACAGGUGGUCGGGUAGAGAAUACCAAGGCGCUUGAGAGAACUCGGGUGAAGGAACUAGGCAAAAUGGUACCGUAACUUCGGGAGAAGGUACGCUCUCGACGGUGAAGUCCCUCGCGGAUGGAGCUAUUGAGAGUCGCAGAUACCAGGUGGCUGCAACUGUUUAUUAAAAACACAGCACUGUGCAAAAUCGUAAGAUGACGUAUACGGUGUGACGCCUGCCCGGUGCCGGAAGGUUAAUUGAUGGGGUUAGACUUCGGUCGAAGCUCUUGAUCGAAGCCCCGGUAAACGGCGGCCGUAACUAUAACGGUCCUAAGGUAGCGAAAUUCCUUGUCGGGUAAGUUCCGACCUGCACGAAUGGCGUAAUGAUGGCCACGCUGUCUCCACCCGAGACUCAGUGAAAUUGAAAUCGCUGUGAAGAUGCAGUGUACCCGCGGCUAGACGGAAAGACCCCGUGAACCUUUACUACAGCUUGGCACUGAACAUUGACCCUACAUGUGUAGGAUAGGUGGGAGGCUUUGAAGCACGUACGCCAGUAUGUGUGGAGCCGUCCUUGAAAUACCACCCUUGUAGUGUUGAUGUUCUAACGUCGACCCCUUAUCGGGGUUGCGGACAGUGCCUGGUGGGUAGUUUGACUGGGGCGGUCUCCUCCCAAAGAGUAACGGAGGAGCACGAAGGUGGGCUAAUCACGGUUGGACAUCGUGAGGUUAGUGCAAUGGCAUAAGCCCGCUUGACUGCGAGAAUGACAAUUCGAGCAGGUGCGAAAGCAGGUCAUAGUGAUCCGGUGGUUCUGAAUGGAAGGGCCAUCGCUCAACGGAUAAAAGGUACUCCGGGGAUAACAGGCUGAUACCGCCCAAGAGUUCAUAUCGACGGCGGUGUUUGGCACCUCGAUGUCGGCUCAUCACAUCCUGGGGCUGAAGUCGGUCCCAAGGGUAUGGCUGUUCGCCAUUUAAAGUGGUACGCGAGCUGGGUUUAGAACGUCGUGAGACAGUUCGGUCCCUAUCUGCCGUGGGCGUUGGAAGAUUGAAGGGGGCUGCUCCUAGUACGAGAGGACCGGAGUGGACGAACCUCUGGUGUUCGGGUUGUGUCGCCAGACGCAUUGCCCGGUAGCUAAGUUCGGAAUCGAUAACCGCUGAAAGCAUCUAAGCGGGAAGCGAGCCCUGAGAUGAGUCUUCCCUGAUACUUUAAGUAUCCUAAAGGGUUGUCGGAGACUACGACGUUGAUAGGUCAGGUGUGUAAGUGCUGUGAGGCAUUGAGCUAACUGAUACUAAUUGCCCGUGAGGCUUAACCA
rnacentral:rRNA from 1 species